rnacentral:rRNA from 1 species
UACGAAGGGGGCUAGCGUUGCUCGGAAUCACUGGGCGUAAAGGGCGCGUAGGCGGCCGGCCAAGUCGGGGGUGAAAGCCUGUGGCUCAACCACAGAAUGGCCCUCGAUACUGGACGGCUCGAGACCGGAAGAGGUUGGUGGAAUUGCGAGCGUAGAGGUGAAAUUCGUAGAUAUUCGCAAGAACACCAGUGGCGAAGGCGGCUCACUGGCCCGGUACUGACGCUGAGGUGCGAAAGCGUGGGGAGCAAACAGG